AGAAAAUAAAGUGAAAUUGGUUUUUGCCUUUUACAUAAAGUCUUACUACUCUAUUUCUUUUUCAAGUUGUGCAUGUGAAAAAAUAAAGUUGAUCUUUUAGAACUAUAAAAAGUUUUAGUUAUUUAAUAGAGCUUUUAGCCGAUUCACGGACUUUUCUUUCUUUACAAAAUUCUCCUUUCAUAAUUUCCUCAUUCUUUAGUUGAAAUUUUCAACCUUCAUCAUGAUUUUGUUAAUCACUUUUGCGAAGUAACAAUCAGAAAUCAGAUGAUUCAAGUAUGGAAGAUUUGGAGAUCACAAUGAAUCUAGAUUGCUCCCUUUCCGUUCCAGUGAAACUUCCAGCUUCCAUCAAGAUACAUUCUUCGUUAGGGAGGAGCAACUUUAAUGGCUUCCCAAGAUUUGAUUUGGUUAUGCCUUUUUUCCCCCGGAAUUCAGGUUUACUAUUCAAAUUUUGUGAAUCUAGGCUUGGGCUUCCCAAAAACAGGGACAAACUCAAGAACACCAACGAUGUCUACUAUUUGGACUGCCACAAGCAUAGUCAGUGGUUCAACAGCCAUUUCACCCUGAAACACUGAUAAACUGCAAAAUUUUACGACAUUGAGGACCACUUAUCUACAAUCCCUGACAAAAGGGGAUGAGGAGAAGAGAAGGGUGCAAUUUAAUGGUAUCUACAUAUUUUCCACAGCGUUUGACGUCUCUCAGGUCCUCCUUGAAAUACAUCAUUGAAUGUCAAGGCAGUAUCAUCUGCUGCACAAUCCUCAAAUUGGCAGGAUGCAGAGCUUUUAAACCAAAUAAGCAACAUCUCUUCACCUGAGGCCUUAGCUGGGGUGGAGGAUAGAUCCUAUUCCACUUGAUGCCAUCACAUUUUUGUCUUGGAAAAUGUCUCUGAAGCACUUCGAAACAAAGUGAGGCAGCAUGUAACUGCAGAAGCAGCAAUCGCUUCUUCUCAGGGAACAGAUGGAUUUGCAGCUUCUACUGAUUCUUUAGUAGUCUUUCCGAUUAAAUCAUAAUUAAUAGAAGCCAGCUGCGACAAGUUCUGGAAACAUCCAAAGAACAAAGAUGGAAGGCAAAUGAGAUAGAAAGGCACAUUUGAAUGGAAAGAUAUUUGAGUAGUAAUUAAAUCCAUCGUGCCCACUAGUUCCUCUCAAACAGCACCAAGAAUAUCAGGUCAAAUGAGUUUGUCAAUACUCAAAAGACAUGUAAAGAAAAGAAAAAAGAGAUGGCAUCAUGUUCAUAUACAUUACUCAAACAAUAGGGUAAUAGCAAGGCAGCAUUUCUCACCUUAAACGAAAAAUUGCUGAAGGAGUAGUUCACAUUCAGGGAAGGGGUACUAAAGUCGGCUAGAUUACCGCAUUCAUCUCCCUGUUAUGACAAAUUAUGGGUUAGAACAGUGAUAACAACAAUAUAUACCAGCAAUCGUGGGUAUAGAGCAAAGUCUUUGAGUUAUUUAAGUAUCAGAGGGUCAAAGGCAGGCAGGUAUAAACCGGUAGUCCUUCUCUGUUAGAAAGCCAGGUCGUAAUCAAAUUUUAGUCUUUGAAAUGCUAUGCAAAUCUGAGAAACUUAUACCUCUUCAUCCUGUAGAUUGCUGUAUGAACUGCUGCUACAUGUAGCACUGCCACUCUCACUCAACUCAUAAAAAUCGCUACCUCCAUUUACAUUCUCAUCUUCUGGACUCCAAAUGUAACGGCUCAUAAAAUAGCUAGUGUCAUGUGCAUCAGCAGAUGGGACAAACGUAGCCUGUAGAAAGUUAAUUACAGCGUUAUUAUUUACUCCACUGACCAAAUCCUUUUUCUUGGAGAAGUGGAGAGAAGACAGGAAGAGAAAGAAAAACCUUUUGCCUUGCAAGUGUGUCCCAGUUGAUAUGCCUAAAGAAAGGAUGUCGCUUUACCUGUUAAUAUAAGGAGGUAAUAAGAAAUAAACUUGAAUUUUCUUUUA